rnacentral:rRNA from 1 species
GACGAACGCUGGCGGCGUGCCUAAUACAUGCAAGUAGAACGCUGAAGAGAGGAGCUUGCUCUUCUUGGAUGAGUUGCGAACGGGUGAGUAACGCGUAGGUAACCUGCCUUGUAGCGGGGGAUAACUAUUGGAAACGAUAGCUAAUACCGCAUAACAAUGGAUGACACAUGUCAUUUAUUUGAAAGGGGCAAUUGCUCCACUACAAGAUGGACCUGCGUUGUAUUAGCUAGUAGGUGAGGUAGCGGCUCACCUAGGCGACGAUACAUAGCCGACCUGAGAGGGUGAUCGGCCACACUGGGACUGAGACACGGCCCAGACUCCUACGGGAGGCAGCAGUAGGGAAUCUUCGGCAAUGGGGGCAACCCUGACCGAGCAACGCCGCGUGAGUGAAGAAGGUUUUCGGAUCGUAAAGCUCUGUUGUAAGUCAAGAACGAGUGUGAGAGUGGAAAGUUCACACUGUGACGGUAGCUUACCAGAAAGGGACGGCUAACUACGUGCCAGCAGCCGCGGUAAUACGUAGGUCCCGAGCGUUGUCCGGAUUUAUUGGGCGUAAAGCGAGCGCAGGCGGUUUGAUAAGUCUGAAGUUAAAGGCUGUGGCUCAACCAUAGUUCGCUUUGGAAACUGUCAAACUUGAGUGCAGAAGGGGAGAGUGGAAUUCCAUGUGUAGCGGUGAAAUGCGUAGAUAUAUGGAGGAACACCGGUGGCGAAAGCGGCUCUCUGGUCUGUAACUGACGCUGAGGCUCGAAAGCGUGGGGAGCGAACAGGAUUAGAUACCCUGGUAGUCCACGCCGUAAACGAUGAGUGCUAGGUGUUGGAUCCUUUCCGGGAUUCAGUGCCGCAGCUAACGCAUUAAGCACUCCGCCUGGGGAGUACGACCGCAAGGUUGAAACUCAAAGGAAUUGACGGGGGCCCGCACAAGCGGUGGAGCAUGUGGUUUAAUUCGAAGCAACGCGAAGAACCUUACCAGGUCUUGACAUCCCGAUGCUAUUUCUAGAGAUAGAAAGUUACUUCGGUACAUCGGUGACAGGUGGUGCAUGGUUGUCGUCAGCUCGUGUCGUGAGAUGUUGGGUUAAGUCCCGCAACGAGCGCAACCCCUAUUGUUAGUUGCCAUCAUUCAGUUGGGCACUCUAGCGAGACUGCCGGUAAUAAACCGGAGGAAGGUGGGGAUGACGUCAAAUCAUCAUGCCCCUUAUGACCUGGGCUACACACGUGCUACAAUGGUUGGUACAACGAGUUGCGAGUCGGUGACGGCAAGCUAAUCUCUUAAAGCCAAUCUCAGUUCGGAUUGUAGGCUGCAACUCGCCUACAUGAAGUCGGAAUCGCUAGUAAUCGCGGAUCAGCACGCCGCGGUGAAUACGUUCCCGGGCCU